rnacentral:rRNA from 1 species
AGAGUUUGAUCAUGGCUCAGAUUGAACGCUGGCGGCAGGCUUAACACAUGCAAGUCGAGCGGAGAUGAGGUGCUUGCACCUUAUCUUAGCGGCGGACGGGUGAGUAAUGCUUAGGAAUCUGCCUAUUAGUGGGGGACAACAUUCCGAAAGGAAUGCUAAUACCGCAUACGUCCUACGGGAGAAAGCAGGGGAUCUUCGGACCUUGCGCUAAUAGAUGAGCCUAAGUCGGAUUAGCUAGUUGGUGGGGUAAAGGCCUACCAAGGCGACGAUCUGUAGCGGGUCUGAGAGGAUGAUCCGCCACACUGGGACUGAGACACGGCCCAGACUCCUACGGGAGGCAGCAGUGGGGAAUAUUGGACAAUGGGGGGAACCCUGAUCCAGCCAUGCCGCGUGUGUGAAGAAGGCCUUAUGGUUGUAAAGCACUUUAAGCGAGGAGGAGGCUACUGAGACUAAUACUCUUGGAUAGUGGACGUUACUCGCAGAAUAAGCACCGGCUAACUCUGUGCCAGCAGCCGCGGUAAUACAGAGGGUGCGAGCGUUAAUCGGAUUUACUGGGCGUAAAGCGUGCGUAGGCGGCUUUUUAAGUCGGAUGUGAAAUCCCCGAGCUUAACUUGGGAAUUGCAUUCGAUACUGGGAAGCUAGAGUAUGGGAGAGGAUGGUAGAAUUCCAGGUGUAGCGGUGAAAUGCGUAGAGAUCUGGAGGAAUACCGAUGGCGAAGGCAGCCAUCUGGCCUAAUACUGACGCUGAGGUACGAAAGCAUGGGGAGCAAACAGGAUUAGAUACCCUGGUAGUCCAUGCCGUAAACGAUGUCUACUAGCCGC